CUGCCCGCUCCAAAACUCGAGCAGCCCAUUGGGGCCAGACGUGGUCUUGAGAGAAGAGGGAGGGGAGGGCAGAUGCAACACGCAGAGCGCAUUGGGGCAGCAGCAGCACAUGGUCGCAUCCAUCCCUCUGUCUGCAGCCGGAGCUGAAGGAGGAGCAGUGCAAUACUGCAGCGGGAGGUGAGCACUUUGCAGGGGUGUGCAGUGCCCUCUGAGGUGAUGGAUACACUGCCUGACCCCCUUCUCUUUGGGACCAAACCGAAGCAGGCACAAAAGGGACUAAAACCAGGGCAAAGCCGGAAGAAAACAUCCCAGGAGUGGUGGAGCCGGUGGUGGGCGAGGGGCAGCCAGAGCCGGGGUCCAGCCUCCUCCCUCGGUCCCUGAUUGGGGACAGCAGCAGCAUGUUCGGCUGGUUCGUCCAGGGGCUGGAGAAGGUGAUGCCACAGCCUGUGCCCAGGGAGAAGCAGGACGUGCAGGGAGCAGCCACCACAGCCUUCAGCCCUGUGGAGGAAAGUAAGUGCUCGCUGCUCGCGCCCUGCCCUUCUGCUGGCAGGUUUUCGGAGAGGGAACCCGAGGAAAGCAAG
rnacentral:lncRNA from 1 species